UGGGGAAUCUUGCACAAUGGGCGAAAGCCUGAUGCAGCGACGCCGCGUGCGGGAUGAAGGCCUUUGGUUUGUAAAUCGUCUUCAGCAGGGACGAGGCCGCAAGGUCACGGUACCUGCAGAAGAAGCCCCGGCUAACUACGUGCCAGCAGCUGCGGUAAUACGUAGGGGGCAAGCGUUAUCCGGAUUCAUUGGGCGUAACGCGCGCGUAGGCGGUUCGUUAGGUCAGGAGUUAAAUCUGGGGGCUGAACCCCUAUCCGCUCCUGAUGCCGGCAGGCUUGAGUGAGGUAGGGGAAGGCGGAAUUCAAAGUGUAGCGGUGAAAUGAGCAGGUAUUUGGAAGAACACCGGUGGCGAGGGCAGCCUUCUGGGCCACGACUGACGCUGAGGGGCGAAAGCUAGGGGAGCGAACAGG
rnacentral:rRNA from 1 species